ensembl:lncRNA
GGGAAAGUGUUCCCAGAGCUUGCCUUGGUAAUCACUUCUAGUACUUAGCAACUUUCCCUGGCAGAGAGUUCCUCUUCAUAGGAUCAAAAUCCACAAGUUAAGUUCGGGUAUUUCUCCAUGGCAGUGAGGACACACAACACAGCCUUGAGCGGUCCUUGAUUUCCUCGCCGAUGAAGUGCCUGCUUGCACCCUGGUAUCAUGGUAUUCUAUCUGGGCUACUCUCUAAUGUGCCCAUCCUAGGGCCAUGAAUAGAAGAGCUCUUCAAAGAGCACCUGCACAACUAUACCGGCAGUGGACAAAAGAGGCACAUGUUCCCCUUGGUGAUCUCAGAAGGCACCUGCAGCAAAUUCAACUGAACUCAAAAUGGAGAUCAGGAGCCCAGGGGAGGCAAAGGGAAGCCCCUGGGAGUAGAGCUGCACUAAGAACCAGAUGUCCUCGCUUCAGCCCCUUCCAAGAUGGCAGCAUCUUCUCCUCAAUCACAAAAAGAGGGAAGGUGAGGAGGAUACCCCCACUGCACAGAGGAGGGGACAGUCUUAUGGUGGCCCUACCCUGGAAGGCGCUGAGAGGGUAUUGUUCCUGGAGAGCCUGA